ACCCGUGAUCCGGGUUGCGGACAGUGUCUGGUGGGUAGUUUGACUGGGGCGGUCUCCUCCUAAAGAGUAACGGAGGAGCACGAAGGUUGGCUAAUCCUGGUCGGACAUCAGGAGGUUAGUGCAAUGGCAUAAGCCAGCUUGACUGCGAGCGUGACGGCGCGAGCAGGUGCGAAAGCAGGUCAUAGUGAUCCGGUGGUUCUGAAUGGAAGGGCCAUCGCUCAACGGAUAAAAGGUACUCCGGGGAUAACAGGCUGAUACCGCCCAAGAGUUCAUAUCGACGGCGGUGUUUGGCACCUCGAUGUCGGCUCAUCACAUCCUGGGGCUGAAGUAGGUCCCAAGGGUAUGGCUGUUCGCCAUUUAAAGUGGUACGCGAGCUGGGUUUAGAACGUCGUGAGACAGUUCGGUCCCUAUCUGCCGUGGGCGCUGGAGAACUGAGGGGGGCUGCUCCUAGUACGAGAGGACCGGAGUGGACGCAUCACUGGUGUUCGGGUUGUCAUGCCAAUGGCACUGCCCGGUAGCUAAAUGCGGAAGAGAUAAGUGCUGAAAGCAUCUAAGCACGAAACUUGCCCCGAGAUGAGUUCUCCCUGACUCCUUGAGAGUCCUGAAGGAACGUUGAAGACGACGACGUUGAUAGGCCGGGUGUGUAAGCGCAGCGAUGCGUUGAGCUAACCGGUACUAAUGAACCGUGAGGCUUAACCUUACAACGCCGAAG
rnacentral:rRNA from 1 species